rnacentral:rRNA from 1 species
AUUGAACGCUGGCGGCAGGCCUAACCCAUGCAAGUCGAGCGAGCGGCGGACGGGUGAGUGAUGUAUGGGGACUGCCCGAUAGAGGGGGAUAACUAAUGGCAACGGCGGCUAAUACCGCAUAUUGUCGGAUAACACCUACGGGAUGAGCUAGUAGGUAAGGGAAUGGCUUACCUAGGCGACGAUCCCUAGCUGGUCUGAGAGGAGGAUCAGCCAGACUGGGACUGAGACACGGCCCAGACUCCUACGGAGGAAGCAGUGGGGAAUAUUGCACAAUGGGCGCAAGCCGGAUGCAGCCAUGCCGCGUGUAUGAAGAAGGCCCUAGGGUUGUAAAGUACUUGCAGUCGGGAGGCGUUACCGACAGAAGAAGCACCGGCUAACUCCGUGCCAGCGGCCGCGGUAAUUC